GACGAACGCUGGCGGCGUGCUUAACACAUGCAAGUCGAACGGUAAGGCCCUUCGGGGUACACGAGUGGCGAACGGGUGAGUAACACGUGGGUGAUCUGCCCUGCACUUCGGGAUAAGCCUGGGAAACUGGGUCUAAUACCGGAUAGGACCACUGCCUGCAUGGGUGGUGGUGGAAAGCUUUUGCGGUGUGGGAUGGGCCCGCGGCCUAUCAGCUUGUUGGUGGGGUGAUGGCCUACCAAGGCGACGACGGGUAGCCGGCCUGAGAGGGUGACCGGCCACAGUGGACAUGCGGUACGGCCCAGACUCCUAGGGGUGGCAGCAGGGGGGAAUAUUGCACGAUGGGCGCAAGCCUGAUGCAGCGACGCCGCGUGAGGGAUGCCGGCCUUCGGGUUGUAAACCUCUUUCAGCACCGACGAAGCGCAAGUGACGGUAGGUGCAGAAGAAGGACCGGCCAACUACGUGCCAGCCGCCGCAGUAA
rnacentral:rRNA from 1 species